AUGGCCGCGGCCCGCGCCUCCCCCCUCCGUGUCGGGGGAGGGUCCCGCCGGGCCGGGCUGGCGGUCCGUCGCUCUUUCUUCGUGUUGGGGACCGGCGCGCGUGCCCGUGUGCGCGCGUGCCUUCCGCGUCGCUCUCCGUGUGUUGCCUUGUCGGCCGGGGCUUGGCGGGGGCGCGCGUGGUCCGUCCUGCGCGUCCCUGGGGCUGUGGCGCGAGCGGGCAGCUCUCAGCUUCCCCUGCUCGCCACCCCGGGCUGCGACUGGCCGUCGUCGGGCGGCGGUCGGCACGUGUGUUGGGCUGGGCCCAGCCCUCUCUUCCCCCUCGGCUCGCGUGGUCGCCCCUGGGGAGCGUUCCCUCGGGGUCGCGGUGCUUCUCCGGGCAUGGAGAUCCGGAUGGUUGGAUGGGCGGGAGAUGGCGCGAGGGCCGUCCGGUGUGUGCGGUUGUUGGCGCUGUCGCGUGGAGGCGCCCUGGCGGCGGGGCUCUUGGGUGUGCGUGGGAGAAGACGUGGAGGGUCGCCAGAGGUGGGCUCCGGUGUCCCAGGCGUCGCGGGACCGCCCUGGUGUGUGGCGGUGGGAUCCCGUGUCCGUUUCCCCGGCGGGUCCGGCUUUUGUGGCCCAAGGCGCUCCCUGCGUCCUCUCCCUCGUGCCUCCGGUGCCUCGCCCUCCGUGGCCCUGGUGCGGCCCCCACCCCCCCUCGCUGUCGCUGCGGGCUGGGCCGUUCGCCCUCCCCCCCCUCCGGGGGAGGGUGGGCUCUUUGAGGGCUCCGCUGCCCGCGUGCCCGUGGGGGCCUUGUGGGGUUGGGGUCUGUCCGUGACUGGUGGCGGGGGCGGGGCCGGUGGUCUUCCCCGCGUGAAGAUGCGUGUUUGGGUGGCUGUGGCUGAGGCACGACGGCCCCCGGUUGGCUGCGUCAGGUGCUGCCUUCCCAUCCCCGCGGGACCGCCCUUGCCCUCGGAGGGUGCUGGCGGUGAGAUCCCGCGUGUGGUGGUGGGGGUUGUGUGCUCUGGCGCGACUGGCCGGCCGGCCGGCUGCGUGGUGAGGCCCUUCCGCCCGCACCGUCGUCGCGUGGGUGGCUCUGGUCCUUUUCCCCGUCGCCCUUUGCCCGCGCCUUCCUCCGCCUGCCGGGCGGCCCUGGCCCCCGUCUCCUUUGCCCUCUUUCUCAUCCGCUUCCCGACCCGGGUCGCCGUGACCCUGCUGUGUUUCGCCUCCCCUUGGGCCGGCCCACCGUGUCUUGGUGGUUGGGGGUUCCGGCUCCCCUUCCGCGUGUGGAACCGCCCCCGGGCGGCUGUGGCGUCGCGCGUUGGCUUGUUGGCGUGCGUGGGGGAAGGAGGAGGAGGAGGAGGGGGAGGCGUCGUCACCCCCCAGCUCCCCCCCUGGUGGCGUUGGUGGCUCCGCGGCGGUGGUGGUGCUCGCGCGUGUGCCCCGAGUCCCGCGGGUGUGUCGUGGCUGGUUCCUCCGGGCCGUCGCGUCGUGGACUUGGUGUGGCGGCCGGCGUCGCGUGUGUGCGGGCGCCGGUCGGCCUGGGCGGGGUGUGGCCGAGAUGGGCUCCGGCCCGCCUCGGGCCUUGCCCCGUCGGGGCGCGCUUGGACACGAGGUGCGGUCACGACGUGAACGACCCGCUGGUGCCGGUCCCUUCCCCCCGCUGGCUCGGGCUCGCCCUCGCGUGCCCGCCGUCGCUCGGGGUCCGCUCCGUCUGCUGGGGGUGUGUGUGUCUGUGGGGCGGGAGCCUCCGGGUCCCCCUCCUCCCGAUCUCCUCUCCCCCCUCUGCCGCCUCUGCCGCGCCCCGUCCCUGGGGUGUGUGCGGGUGAGCCGCCGGGGCUUGACCCGCUCGCGUCCGAGGACGCCCCUGAUCCCGCCGGCUCUGUCGUCCGGCUUGCUUCCCCGCGGAGGCUUGCGGCCGCGCCGCCGUGGUGCGCGCCCCGCGCCGGUUCCCGGCUUCUCUCUCGCCUGUGCGAGCGAGCGAGCGAGCGGCGGUCCCUGCCGGUCCCACCCUCUUGACCGCGCGCUCCUACCUGGUUGAUCCUGCCAGUAGCAUAUGCUUGUCUCAAAGAUUAAGCCAUGCAUGUCUAAGUACGCACGGCCGGUACAGUGAAACUGCGAAUGGCUCAUUAAAUCAGUUAUGGUUCCUUUGGUCGCUCGCUCCUCUCCUACUUGGAUAACUGUGGUAAUUCUAGAGCUAAUACAUGCCGACGGGCGCUGACCCCCUUCGCGGGGGGGAUGCGUGCAUUUAUCAGAUCAAAACCAACCCGGUCAGCCUCCCCCCGGCCCCGGCCGGGGGGGUGGGCGCC
rnacentral:lncRNA from 1 species